rnacentral:tmRNA from 1 species
GGGGGUGAUUAUGGAUUCGACGGAGGAUGGAAGUUUUAAAUGGCACGUCGCGGGUUUUUCGGUAACCGCGUAAAAAUACUGAAAAAACAUAAAUGCAAACAAAAAUGUUGCGCACAGCGGCUUUGCUGCUGUAGCUGCCUAAGCUUAAUAACCUUAGAGUAGCCACUGGUCCGGAACUGGCUUGGGUGCCGGGUAGCUGGUGAAAAACCCCACAGGCUGGUCUUUAGGCUUUUUUAGUCGGCCUAAAGAUGAGAAAUAGGCUAAAAACUGCCAUAAAAAGCCUGCCACUGGGCGUUUUGUGGGAGCGCAAACCAGAUGGCUAAACGUGUAGAAGUUUAAAGCAGAUAUCUUGCGGACGCGGGUUCAAAUCCCGCCACCUCCACCA